rnacentral:miRNA from 1 species
CUGCACAGCUCGGGGGCGGCCGUGGCAGGAGCGUCCUCACCGUCCUGUGUCCUCCCCGCCUCCGCCUGUCCCGGGGGGACCACAGGAUCCUGGGCUGUGUCCCCCGCGCC